rnacentral:lncRNA from 1 species
CUACCCACCAAGGUCAAUCCUUGAGACUGGCUCUCCUCUGGCCUGCAGGAAGAACUUAACCAUUGGAGGUGUGGGAUGGGGAGCUUGAAAAAUACUGAAUUCAAUUCUUCCCAUUGUACAGAUGGAGACACUGAAGCCAGGAAGGGAGAAAGGAUCAGUCCACACUGCCUGUUUCUUCCAUGUCAUUGAGUAGGAUGCAAAGAUCAGUUCUACUAGCCUCUCUGGAGAUUAUGGGGACCAAAGAGGACUUCAUUUCCAUUUGGGAGAAGGGUAAAAGGAAAGAGAGUGGGGUACUGCAGCAGGAAGGAUGGAGGAUCCAUAUCAAGGGGGAACUUCCGGUGUGAUCAAGCUUUGAUUCCAGGGCCAGUAUAAAUGCACUGCUCAACUGUGGGAAAGGGGCUGGGAUGGAAAUGACACAGGCUGGGCCUGCAGCCAAUGGAACUUCCCCACAGAAGAUGCCACUUAAAAGUGUUAUUAAACCCUCAGGACUUUUAAAGCAGAGAACAAGGUAACUAUGAACACUCUUUAAAGUGAUAUUGAGAGUUCCCAAGAGAGUUCUGUGUCUUUCUCACUUCCCUCUGCCUUGGGAUGGAGACACGUGUCUACCCCAAUGUCCCCCUCUCCUCCCCAGCUCCUGCUCUGUCUUCCAG